rnacentral:misc_RNA from 1 species
AGUUGAGUUGAGUUGAGUAUUUUAUGUUAUUUUAUUUACGAUUAAGUGUAGACAAAAAAAAAUCUAUUUCUAUUAGCUGUUUUUGUUGUAUUUACUUAUUGGAACUCUAAAAUAUAUACACUUCCCAUCUUUCUCUUUUUGUUACCCUUCUUUUUCAUGCAAAACAUUAAUUUCUUCUCUUCCCAUCUUUACCAACUGAAAAAUACUUGGAAAGUAAAUCCAAUAAAAAAUUAUCACUUGAUUUUUUUCUCUUUCAUUUUCUUUGUAACCUAUAAAACUUUUGUUUUUCCUCACAUUUUCCCAUUAACCAAACAACUCUGACAAAGCAUUUAUUUUUUUCUCGU